CAACUCCUCAAAAACAGACGACGCUUCUCAGUUCGGAUUGUCAGUCUGCAACCUCGCACUGUACAUGAGAGUCGUGGAAUCGCUUUUAGUAAUUGC
rnacentral:rRNA from 1 species